rnacentral:lncRNA from 1 species
CUUCAGAGCCCUAACAUGAGAUUCAGGUCUAACUAGCAGGCAAAACAUGUGAAUAAAUAAGCAGUCUGCUCAAGAUCUGGUCUCAACCUAUCAUUGACACACCAUUGUCUUGUUUUUUUCCUGCAAAGUAGACUGACAAGUUGUCAGAUGGGAAAUCUUGGAAGAAAAAUUCUUCCUCUGGUACUCACCAGACUUUUCCCUAGGCAAUUUUCUUCUACUUUUAUGCCAUAUAUACCUAUAUAAUAUGUACAUAUAUAUAUUAUAUAUAGUACAUUAUAUAUAGUCUAGGAGUCACAGAUAUGAGAAAACAUGCAGUAUUCAUCUUUCUGUAGUUGGAUUAAUUCACUUAAUGUAUUGGCUCUGAUUGCAUCCAUUGACAUAUGACAUACCUUCAUACCUUAUGGCUAAAAUAAAAGUUCAUUGUGUAUCCAACAAUGGAGAAAUGAAUAACAACAAUGUGGUGUAAUUCACAGGAUCUUUGUGGGCCACUUCACUCUGAGCACAAGCAGUUGGCUAACGAACUCCUGCUGCACACACCUUGCUGUUGCUCCUCCUCCUUCUCUUCCUUUUCUGGUUUGGUUAUUUAUUCAUUCACCAUGUUUGUUAAUUUGGAGACAGGCUGGUGCUACACAGCCCAGGCCUCAAACUGGCAGCGAUCUCCUGACCUCUAUUUACCUCCCAAGUGUUGGGUGCGCACCUGCAUGCCUGGCCUCGGUUUUGGGUUGCAAAAGCCCACCACCAACCUGUCUUGCUGUCUAUCAUUCUUCUUUCUAUGAACAAAAUAAAGGUCAAUGUGGAAAGGGGCCCCAGGAAAUAAAACGUGAGGCAGGCACAGAGAGGGAAAUCAGGUUCCAUUCCCCACAUGCUCAUUCAAUAAGAUUCCCAGAACUGAGUCUGGUCACUGCUGGCCCUCAGGACAGAAGCUACACUAACCCAAACACAGGGCACGACCAUUGCAAAGACCCCCACAGUAGGAGGGUAACACUCUACACAGCUUAUCAGCCUUCCCAGGAAGGAGCCAAAACAUUGGCCCUGUGUCAGUCCCAUCAGAUCUUCUCUAAUUGCCCCAACCAGACAUCUGGUAGGCUGGAUGCCAUCCAGACCAAUGUCCAAAUCAGCACCUUAAGAAGUCCUGCCAAGCUAGGAGGAGCCUGGGAAGCUUCCCCACUGUGGGAAUACUGGGAGGAGUUCAUCUGGGUAAGUCAGAGAGAUAAAUGAUGAGGACUUUGCUUCAGAGUUCUUCAAAGGGUAACUCUUGGAAUGUCCCCAUUGUUAGGCCCAGCCUUGGCAACGCAAACAUAACAGAGUUCAGGGCUAUAGUUCAACUGAUAUAGUGCCUGCCUAACAUACAGAAAGCCCCAGUUUCCAAGUCCAGCACUCUAGGCAUGUCAGAACCCUCCUACAAUCUCAGUAGUCAUGAGAUAGAGAGGCAGGCGUGGUAGAUGUUUAAGAGACUAUUUAAAAAAUAAAAAUAAAAAUAAAAAUAAAUGAACUGAAGGGCUAAAGGGAUGGCUCAGCAGUUAAGAGCACCAGGUGUUCUUCCCACCACCCACAUGGUGGCUCAUAACCAGUGUGGUGAGGUGGGGCAGAGCACACUAUAGAGGACUCUGCCUGGUACUACAUGGAAGAUACCAAGAGUCCCUGGACACUACUAAGAAGAGCAAGUAAGUGCUGGAGAGAUGGAAG